CCAGCUUUGGCAUAAUCGGUUAGCGCGUUCGGCUGUUAACCGAAAGGUUGGUGGUUCGAGCCCACCCAGGGA
rnacentral:tRNA from 1 species